AGCGAACGCUGGCGGCAGGCCUAACACAUGCAAGUCGAACGAACCUUUCGGGGUUAGUGGCGGACGGGUGAGUAACACGUGGGAACGUGCCUUUAGGUUCGGAAUAACUCAGGGAAACUUGUGCUAAUACCGAAUGUGCCCUUCGGGGGAAAGAUUAAUCGCCUUUAGAGCGGCCCGCGUCUGAUUAGCUAGUUGGUUGAGGUAAUGGCUCACCAAGGCGACGAUCAGUAGCUGGUCUGAGAGGAUGAUCAGCCACAUUGGGACUGAGACGCGGCCCAAACUCCUACGGGAGGCAGCAGUGGGGAAUCUUGCGCAGUGGGCGAAAGCCUGACGCAGCCAUGCCGCGUGAAUGAUGAAGGUCUUAGGAUUGUAAAAUUCUUUCACCGGGGACGAUAAUGACGGUACCCGGAGAAGAAGCCCCGGCUAACUUCGUG
rnacentral:rRNA from 1 species